AUGCCAGGAUCCAGCCGUCCUUCUCGCUGGAUGAUUGUGAGACGCGAGAUUCUUCGAUGCAGGCAAAGCCUGAGCUUGUGCUGGCAACACCUGAUGGGGAGAUCACCCCAGCUCUGUACCCAGGCAGCUGCAUCUUUUAACUCCUCUGGUGCGGUACUCUCGACGCCAACCCCUCCGGAUAUGCAACAAGAUACUAGCCCGGGCCUGGACCACAACAGUGAGGCAAGAUCUACACCCAUCCACUACUCCUCCCCGGGAUGCUUGACUGAAGACGCAGCUACUCCAAUCUUCAUUCCUCGCAUGCCGGCCCUGCUGCCGUCUCCCUCGCCAUGCACAACUCCCCCAAGACCUCCCAAGGCGAGACACAAAACUUUGGCAGGUGUCACUGGGUUCCAGUUGCAGAGACAAAGCCCACGGCUUCGGGCCAAGAAAAGGGGUGUGCCCAUUGCCAAGCUUGCGGAGCAACUUCUAUGCCACCGGAUGGGCAUCGUUGCUGAAGGCGAACAGCUUGAUUGUGACCUCUCCACCGCGGUCGAGGACGCCCUGGUGCUUCAUGGAGGGGAAGGUGGGCCGGAUGUGAGCGAGCAGGCUGCUGGGGAUGCUUGA
rnacentral:rRNA from 1 species